GUUCUGCCAUCUUGGGAAGGUCCUGCUUGCUGUUCGAAUGCUAGGGGUUGAGCCGUGGGCUGCCAUUUUCAGAAGGUCUGUCAAGGCUCCUCGUGUCCGGGUGCAUAACCAUGACUGCAGUCUGAAUGCCACUGCCUCCGAAAUUACUCUGUUCCAGGAAAAAUAAGCUGGAACCAGUUCUCACUGAUUCCCAAGACUAGAUUUUUGCCAAGCUCAUAUUCAGUGAUACUACUUUGGUAUCAGCCAUGAUAAGAGGAUCACUUCCAGGAGUGAGUUCACUCCUCCCACGUGAGUCCCGCACACUGAAAGCAGGUCAUUAGGCCCUUGCCCGGCUCACGUAAGAUACAGUGGCGCGCGAACUGUACCAAGGGGGUAACACAGAAUCGGGUGUUACAAAGAAGAGUACUGAUUGCUGUUCCAGAGGACCCAGGUUCAAUUCCACAUUACAGCUAACAACUGUGUGAUUCCAAGAUUUUACAGCCUCACACAAACAUACAUGCAGGCGAACACACCAAUGCACAGAAAAUAAAAUAAAUAAAUAAAUAAAUUACAAAAAAAUAGUGAGCUAGUGGUAUUUGUACAUGAUUGUAGUUCUAGCUAUUGAGGAGGCUGAGUCCAGAUGAUCACAUGAUCAUAGAAAUUUGAGACUGGCCUGGGCAAUACAUAGAGACCUCCCCUCAAAUAAAUAAAUUCGGCUGGUGAGAUGGCCUACAGCUUGUCCUCUGACCUCCAGAGUUUUAC